AACGAACGCUGGCGGCAUGCCUAACACAUGCAAGUCGAACGAGACCGCCGGGUUUAGGGGCGCACGGGGGCGGGACGCGGGGGAAGCUGCCCGUGGGUGGGGAAUAACUGAGAGAAAGGUCAGCUAAUACCAUAUAAGGUCUUCGGACCAAAGAGUUAUCGCCGAGGGAUGGGCGCGCGUAGGAUUAGGUGGUUGGUGGGGUAAUGGCGUACCAAGAGGUGGUUGGUUAGCUGGUCGGAGAGGAUGCCCCGCCACGCUGGGGCUGCGGCACGGCCCAGACUCCUACGGGAGGCAGCAGUGGGGUAUAUUGGACGCUGGGGGCUGGCCUGACCCCGCCCUGCGGCGUAAGUGAUGCAGGCCUUAGGGUUGUGCAGCUCUUUUACCCGAGGUGUUAAUGACGGUACCGGGAGAAUAAGCACCGGCUAACUCCGUG
rnacentral:rRNA from 1 species